rnacentral:rRNA from 1 species
AGAGUUUGAUCCUGGCUCAGGACGAACGCUGGCGGCGUGCCUAACACAUGCAAGUCGAACGGGGUCCAGGGAGUGCUUGCACUCCUGAAGACCUAGUGGCGAACGGGUGAGUAACACGUGAGAAACCUGCCCCGGACUCUGGGAUAACUCAAGGAAACUUGAGCUAAUACCGGAUACCCUCCUGCGGUCGCAUGGCUGCUUGAGGAAAGUUUUUCGGUCUGGGAGGGUCUCGCGGCCUAUCAGCUAGUUGGUGAGGUAACGGCUCACCAAGGCAACGACGGGUAGCUGGUUUGAGAGAACGAUCAGCCACACUGGAACUGAGACACGGUCCAGACUCCUACGGGAGGCAGCAGUGGGGAAUCUUGCGCAAUGGGCGAAAAGCCCUGACGCAGCAACGCCGCGUGCGGGAUGACGGCCUCGG